UACGUAGGGGGCGAGCGUUGUCCGGAAUGAUUGGGCGUAAAGGGCGCGUAGGCGGCCUGUCAAGUCAGUAGUGGAAGUCCAUCUUUCAAGGAUGGAAGUGCUACAGAAACUGAUGGGCUUGAGUGCAGGAGAGGUUAUCGGAAUUCCCGGUGUAGCGGUGAAAUGCGUAGAGAUCGGGAGGAACACCAGUGGCGAAGGCGGGUAACUGGACUGCAACUGACGCUGAGGCGCGAAAGUGUGGGGAGCAAACAGGAUUAGAUACCCCGGUA
rnacentral:rRNA from 1 species